rnacentral:rRNA from 1 species
UACAUGGGGUGCAAACGUUGCUCGGAAUUAUUGGGCGUAAAGCGCGCGUAGGCGGUCGUUUAAGUCGGAUGUGAAAUCCCUUGGCUUAACUGAGGAAGUGCAUCCGAGACUGAACGGCUAGAGUACGAAAGAGGGUCGCGGAAUUCCCGGUGUAGAGGUGAAAUUCGUAGAUAUCGGGAGGAACACCGGCGGCGAAGGCGGCGACCUGGUUCGAGACUGACGCUGAGGUGCGAAAGCGUGGGGAG